CCCAGAAAAAGAAAAAAAGAACAUUGUUCUGAAGAAAGAAAUGCUUCCUUGGAAUGGCCACUAAGGUAGAAGGCAAGGCGGAAGGAGAGAGAACCUGCAGAUUCUGCACUCCUAGAUACUGCAAAAAGGGACAACAUAAUGACAGCAAAUAUAGAAGACGGUGCCAUGCAGAUCAAGGUUUGCUACAGAAGUAUAUUAAAAUCCCCUAGAGAUGCCAUAGAUAACUUUUUAAAAUAACAAAUUUCAUGACGGAUGAAUCUAUCCGCAGUUAAAUAGAACCUUCAUGAAGAGAGGCAGUAUACCUCUGAGUGUCAGAUGGUGGGAACAGAGGAGGUCUGUUGUCCUCAUGUCCUAUUUUGAGCUGGGUAGCCACUGUUGGAAAAAUGAAGGUGGACUAGAUAGACCGUUUAUGCUACUGUCAGGGCAAUACUUUGGGGCAGAUGUCCAGGGCCCACUCUGUGCAGUGAGGAGCCCCCACCAAAUGCAUCAGGGCUGGCUUACCACAUUUUGAAGCAAACUACCAUCUGAAGAAGAUGGUACCACUGAUAUGGACCUAGAUCAGAGCCAGCCAAUGAUUGUUUGUGUGGGAGUUCCCACCACACUACAUCAGCUCCCAAAUUUGGCUAGGUUCAACAAGACCCAUUCCAGAAGUAGGCGAAGGUGGCUACAUGCCAGGACCCUAAAAUGGAGGGAAGGGGCCACCAUCCCAAAAGCACCAUCGUCCUUGCUUUUGCACCGAGCACCCAGGAUGGUCAAAUGCAGUGUCAGCAGAUUCUGAGUCUGUGCACUCCAACUCUUCCAGGUUAAAGAAAGUGGUGCACUGUCCAAAGACACAUCCCCCAAAUAAAACCCCACUGGACUUGAAAAGGGAGCUCAACCAUUGUGCUGAAGAUGUGACAAAAUGUCAUGAUGGGGAGAUGGUGGAGCGUUGAUGGUUAGAAUUGAAAUGCUUCAGCCUUGUGGGAUAUUCACAUCUCAGCAGCUACUGUGUUCAUGAGUUGAAAUUCAAUUUGCCUGUUAAAUUAAUUUGAGCUCCUUUUUCUUAACCGCUAUCUUGUACAACGUGACAACAGCAAACGGAUAGAUGAGAGGUUCUCAGCACCUUAACAGUUUUUUUUCCUGUUUGCGGCUUGGGAGUUUGCAAGAAAAGGGAAACGCAUCAUUGUGCAAGCCUUGAGUAGAAAGGGUGGAUUUCAAUAGCAGGGGUGUGUGUUAAGCCACAUGGUAAAAAAAAGGUCAAACUAGGAGCACCUAAAUCCACUCGUAGAGAAUUCGUAACAUGCUUCGGUCCCAGACGGACAGACCUGGGGUCUGGAUGGUCAGCCAAGGAUUUAAGUCUUCAGCCGCCUCUCCAUAAUCAGCAAAGCUGCACGUUCUAAUGAGAAAAUCCUCUUAAAACUCCAGGAAGAAAGUGAAUCUUGUUCAAAGCAGCUGGAUUUUCUUGCUGCAUGCGUAGGAUGACUGCUGGGAUGAGCUUGUUGGUAGAAAAAGGACAGAACAAGGAAGAAAAGGAACAGGAGCUCCGCCUUCCCUUCUGGAGAAAAGUGGAUAGAAUAAUAAUGCAGAGAUGGAAGGGAAUGACUUGGUGAGGGUAGGGAUCUCAAGCACCCGGAAAUCUCAUGUUGGCAAAUAGGAAUUAAGGGUCCGCACUGACCAGAAGAUUCAAUUCAGACCUCCAUUGGGUGCUUUGGAAAAUAGCCCCCCAGAUCCAAAUCACUUUGUAGACUGCCAAAUUUAACUCAGGGGUCCAUUCAAAGCUGCUUUACCUUUUCCCUGCCCCAAUUCAUUUCUGGAAAAUGGGGGGGCACUUUUGACUUUCCCCCUCUUUUGGCAGAAAUGGAUGAAAUUUGCAAACACACUAGCCCCUCCAAAGUGGGUGAAGUUUGCCCUAGUACAGAGAAAUAGAUCCUGCAGCUUUUGUAUUGAGCACCUCUAAAGUCUGAUAUUUUCGGGUAGAACUGGAUUAAAUUUGUAGGAGAGGUCGCACCUUCUGAAGGCCUGAAUCCUGCCAAAUCUCAUAAUAGCUGCUGAUCUGAAAAUUGCAGACAUGAGAGAAGGGCCACUGGGUAAGAAACCUGACAAACUGAAGGCAGUUGGGUAUAGGGGCUUUUGUGCUAGGCUUUCUUUAAAUUUUAUUUUCAUGUCAGAAGAGAAGAAAGCUAAGGGGAAUCUUCACAGUCAGAGGCUGUGCGCCUCUGAAUACCAGCUGCUGGGUGUGCAGUGCAAACUCUGCCUUCAGGUCAUGUUUCCUGACUUCCUGGAGCAUAUACAUGGCCACAGUUGGAAACCUUUUGCUGGACUAGAUGUGAUACAGGGACUUAAUCUGCAAACAGGUUGCUGAGAUAUUACAAUAUAGGAUAUGCAAUAUAGUGUGCCAUUGUGAACUAGGUGUGAUGCAAUUAGGCUAGGAUCUGGGGGACUAGGGUUCAAUUCCCACCCAGCCAUGAAACUCAUUGGGUGACUGUCACUGCCUCUAGGGAAGUUUUUAAUGUCUGAUGUUUUAUUGUGUUUUUAAUAUUCUGUUGGGAGCCACCCAGAGUGGCUGGAGAGGCCCAGCCAGAUGGGCAGGGUAUAAGUAAUAAAUUAUCACCAUCAUCAUCAUCAUCAUCUCAGCCUACCCUACAUCAGAGGGUCGUUGUGGGGAUUAAAUGAGAGGGAGGGAGAAUCAUGUACACCACCUUGAUAUCCUUGAAGAAAAAGAUGGGCUAUAAAUGCAAUAGAUGAUAGACAGACAGCAGAAUUAAAUAAGGGCAUGGAUAUUUUUUUCAAUGAUCAAGGAGGCAAUGAUCUUGUGCAGAUGCGGCAAAAAACUUGCAUGCAUGAGGAGCACCAAUCCUACAGUCAACACUUGUCUGGAAGCAGCCUAGAUCAGCCUCUGGUUCUGACCCAGCAGGGCUCCUCUUAUGUAGUGUUGGGAAAGGACGUUACAAGGAGAAAGAAACUUCACUUAUAGAGAGAGGAAGGGCUGUACGCUAAGAGAAAUUGAGAGGAGAGGAGAGGGAGCUCUGGAGACCAAGACUUCUGGGCCAGGGAGCCGAACAAGCAGGGAAGCCAAAGAAGUAGGGAGCCCACAUUUCGUACGGAUUGGAACAAAUCAGCUAAAUCGUUGGCUGCAGGUUUUUUCGUUUCAAAUAUUUAUUCACUGCUGUGGAGCGCAAGUGCUUGAAAUAUUGAUGUUGGAGGGCUACGGUUUUGAAAUAUACAUCUUUUCUCCCCAAGCCCUGCCAGUGGGUUACCUGCGUUGUGGCAUUACUUCUUAGACCAGGUAUGGGGGACCCGAGGCCCUAUAGGUGUUGCUGAAGUACAGCUCCCCUCAUCCGUAGCCAUUGGCCAUGCUUACCGUGGCUGAUGGAGUUCACACCUGGUGGAGAGCUCCUCUUUAACUUUCAGGGUUGGCCAAAGACAUUUUGCAGCCUGAGGCAAAGAACAAGAUGGUUCUCUCCCAUUCCAUGUACAAAAGUCAACCAGACUGGUAGCGGAAUCUUCCUGCACCAGGCUGGUGAUGGGACAGUAUGUUUUACUACAGCUCAGGGCGGUAGGCCAGCUUAGGAGGCACAGGGGAGGGCAGCUGCCUCAUUUUGCCCAAUGGUAGCGCUGGCCCUAUAUAUGUGCUAUGGGAUAAUUCACCCUGAAAGCAAGUGCUCUGGAUAUGAAUCAUCUUUCCUCUGGAGACGCAACUAAGCCGACGCCCACUGGAGAAGCAUUGCAAGGUCUUUCCUAUUUGAUCUGGUGUCAGGGUGGCUGGAAUUGGACCUUUGAAUCAGGCCUGAGGUUUUUAUUCUCCUUGUGUAUUUUCCUUUUGUAUUCUCUCAUCAGAACUUGAAUCUGUGGUCUAGAAGUCCACAGUUGUCUGACAAAAGUAAAGGUGGCACUGUGAAAUGGAAUGCUGCCUCCUAAUCUAUAGCCUUAUGAUGCAUUGCUCACGUGAUGCCAGUUCUUCUCCAUCUGCAUCUUGACAGCAAAUUAGGUACGACCAAGGAUUUAUAUAUGCUGCAAUUACAUGACCACAUCAAAUAAGUGUGGCAGUGCCCUUAAGGGAAACAUGCAGUGUUCUCUUUAAAAAACAAACAAUAUUCUAGUCCUUAAAGUCUGCAAACGCAGGAAUGAAAGUAUGUAGGCAAUGCAUAGUUUAUUUUAUUUUAGGUAUGAUUCCAUUGAGCCAGAGCCUAACUAAACAUUACAGUGAUAGACGCUUUCGUUUAAAGACGGCCAUAUCCCAAUCGCAUAUGGAGUGGGGUGGCAUAUCUGAUUAUUUUUCAAAGCAAAAUAAAUACAGUGGUAUCUGGGUUUUCGAACGUCUCUGUUGAUGAACAUUUCGGUUUUCGAACGCCAUAAACCUGAAAGUAAAUGCUUCAGUUUGCCUCGGAAAUCAAACAUGCCACGUGGCUUCCACUGAGUGCAAGAUUCUGAGGCCUAGCUGUCGGCUAUUGAGUUUUCGGUUUUCAAGCGUUUCAGAACUUGAACGGUCUUCCAGAAUGGAUUACGUUCGAAAACCGAGGUACCACUGUAUGUAGGUAAGGGGUACUAAGUAAAAAUUUCAACAGCCCAAUGUGAACUUGAGUGCCCUUUACAUCUCUGUGUUCUUCCAAUUGAGUAGUAAAAGCAAAAUACAUUACACAAAACACACAGAGAGAUACACAUUGUGUACCGCUGGGUGGAGGAGGCAAAGCUCAAACAUGGUCAGUGAGUUAGGGGGUCCAGUUAACAGUCUGGGGUCCUGGAGAGAAGUGGGAUCAAUGAAAAGGUAGUGAGCUUGGCCUGGGGGGUGGAGGAAGGGUCACAGAGGAUUCAAACACAUUAACUCCUAGAAAAGGGAUCCUGGUAGGGUAUCUAAUGAAGGCCAGCCAGCCACAAGGCUUGCAGAACCAUGGACAGAUCACUGGAAAGGAACAAGGAAGUCUUAACUCCAGCCUCUCUCUACACAGAUUCUGAAUACCUCACCCAGCUCCCAACCACUCUCUGCUCAGCAUCUCCAAGUUGCGUUGGAAAAAGCACCCAUAUUAUGUCAAACAGUGGAGGCUGAUCCCUAGGGGGAAAUAGGGCACUGCCAGCCCUCAGCCAAAAAUCAUCCUUCAACCACCUACCCUCUCACAUACAGGCAUCUCCCCACUUACACACCGCGCCGUGAAAUAGUUAAAUAAAUCAAUUUAAACUGCAAAAAGGGCAAGAAUGGCCCCCAAAGAGCAGGAAAGCUGCAAAAAUGGUGCAAAAAGAGCAGGAAGACAGCUAGCAACCCCAUGAGUCUUUGCGUUGACCUUAGAUACCUAUGGAGAGUUGGCACUUGAGAAAGCACUUUGGGGUACCCGUCUGAAGCACAGCCAGGCACUUUGGGGUACUGGUCUUACCCCCCCCCCCCCGUUGUUGUUUGUACAGUGUCCUCCAGUGAUGAGGAAGAUUGAGAAUCACCAUUGCUACCAUUCAUGCCAGUCUGGUAAGUGCUGCUGGGGUUUUUUAAGGGUUUUUCAAGGGCUGCCAGAGGUUUAAAGGGUGUUGGCUGAACAGCACUGCCAAUCACAAAACAUUACUAGGGACAGCAGUUCCAAGAAGAAGAAGAAGAAGAAGAAGAAGAAGAAACUACUCUCACUUAUAGAUAGGAAAGGGUUAAGCAGGGUUAGAGGACUCCCCGCUUUUCCAUUUAUCCUUUUCUGCCCUUCAGUUCCCUGAUCAGUAGCACUAGCCAAUGAGAGGAGUCCCUCGGGGCCCAUUAAGUAACUUUGUGCUGCGGUUCUGAAGAGCUGCCUACCAAUCAGGUGCAUUGUGCCUUCCAUUUCAAUCAUCUUGACCUAUCAGGUACAUUUUCAUUCUGUGGGGGUUGGGGUGGGGUGUUUCUUCUGGGUCUGCAGAAGUUUUUCCUCUCUCUUCCAGUACUGAGACUAAGCAGUAGCCAGUAAGGCUUUCAGUAAAUGGAGAAACUUCUCAGUAAAUGGAUUUUUGUUGUUGUUGUUGUUGUUGUUGUUGUUGUUGUUGUUGUUGUUCUGAUAUGAAGGCAGAAGGCAAGGAAAUACUCUGAGUUAAGUCCCGAUAGGGCACACUGUCCCAAAGGCAAUGUUAAGAGAGCAAUCAGACAGCCCAAUGGACAAAUACAGGUACAGGUCCAAUUCAAUGAGAAAGGUUCAAAGUCAAACCAUAAGGCCAAGUUCCCACCUCAGAAGAUGAUCCAGGGCUGGAAUCCUAAAUUCAGAUUAGAAAUUGCAGUCCAUUGGAGUUCCUGAAGCAGCCAAGCCGUGGUCCACCUACAGUGAAAGUUGAUCAGAAACAGUGUGUCUCCCUUACUUCUCUUUUAUUCUUCCCAGUAUUAUUGAUGCACCUGAGCUUGUUCCAGCUGUGUAGCUGUGUCUCCUCUCCACUUAACAAAGCAUGUGAUCUUCACCAGCGCUUAAUCAAGUUGGUGGCCACAAACCUCCUACAGGAUGAGUCCCAGGAUCUUCACCUGAGCAACUAGUAAGCUGGGCUGUGGUCUCUUGCCUGCCUCAGGCUCUUCCCAUUAUUCCUGAUGCCUCAGAGCCCAUGCUGUUUGUGGAGACAGGGUCACCUCUGUUCUGGUGAUGUGUCCGCCUUCCCAGGUUUCUGCGAACUGUCAGGUGCCCCUUCAACAUCCACUGGUGUCCCUUGAGUACCUUCUAAAUCCCCAACCUCCCGUUCUCCAUCUUCAGCUUGUCCUGGUGUGUCCCAAUCGUGGCUACACCCCUUGCCAGGAUCCUCUUCCCCUUCCUUGGUGUCCUGCCAGUUCAUGACAGUGUGUGAGGGGGGCGGGAUAUUCUAGACUCACUUCUCCUUUCACCAUUAAUUCUUGUUUAUUUACUUCAAUGAAUAAAGCUAUCAAUGGCUACUACCCCUGAUGCUAUGUUCUGCCUCCACCGCUGGUGGCAGUAUACUUCUGAAUAC